AGGAUAAACGCUGGCGGCGUGCCUAACACAUGCAAGUCGAACGCGCUUUCGGGCUUCGGUGCGAGAGCGAGUGGCGGACGGGUGAGUAACACAUGGGUACCUGCCUUUCAGUGAGGGAUACCGGCGAGAAAUCGCCGACAAUACCGCAUGGGCUUGUGGGAACACAAGCAAAGUGGCGCAAGCCACGCUGGAAGAUGGGCCUGUGGCCGAUUAGCUAGUUGGGGGGUAACGGCCUCCCAAGGCGACGAUCGGUAGCUGGUCUGAGAGGACGAUCAGCCACACUGGGAUUGAGAACGGCCCAGACUCCUACUGGGGGCAGCAGUGAGGAAUUUUCCGCAAUGGACGAAAGUCUGACGGAGCAACGCCGCGUGCAGGAGGGAGGUUUUCGGAUCGUAAACUGCUUUUCUCGGGGACGAGCAAGGACGGUACCCGAGGAAGAAGCCCCGGCUAACUACGUGCCAGCAGCCGC
rnacentral:rRNA from 1 species